AGAGGGGUGCAAGCGUUAAUCGGAAUUACUGGGCGUAAAGCGUGCGUAGGUGGGAUGUUUAAGUUGGGGUGUGAAAUUUAUGGGGCUUAACCUGUAAUGGUCAUUCAAAACUGGGCAUCUAGAGUACGAUAGAGGGAAGUGGAAUUUCCGGUGUAGCGGUGAAAUGCGUAGAUAUCGGAAGGAACAUCAGUGGCGAAGGCGACUUCCUGGAUUGAUACUGACACUGAGGCACGAAAGCGUGGGGAGCGAACAGGAUUAGAUACCCUGGUAGUCCACGCCGUAAACGAUGAGAACUAGCUGUUGGGUAUAUAGAAAUACUUAGUGGCGCAGCAAACGCGUUAAGUUCUCCGCCUGGGGAGUACGGCCGCAAGGCUA
rnacentral:rRNA from 1 species